GUGCUUGUUUCGAGAGCACAUAUACUAAAAGUGGACGACACAGAGAAGAUCAGCAUGGCCCCUGAGCAAGGGUGACACACAAAUUCGUGAAGAAAAAAAAGAUUAA
ensembl:snRNA U6 U6 spliceosomal RNA